AAGCUCGUAGUUGGAUUUCGGCGUGCGCUCAGGCUGGUCGGCCGUCAAGGUCUGUACCGUUUGGGUCACGCCCCACUGUAGGAUACUCACCGCUGUCCUUAACUGGGUGGCGGUCAAAGGGGGUGUGCAUGGGGGCAACUCUGUGCAUAUCUCUGGGGUUCCUACUCUUUUACUUUGAGCAAAUUAGAGUGUUCAAAGCAGGCAAUCGAGCCUUGAAUACUUCAGCAUGGGAUAAUGGAACAGGACUGGGGUCCUGAUUUCGUUGGUUUCUGGGAUCUCAGUAAUGAUUAAUAGGGAUAGUUGGGGGCAUUAGUAUUUAAUUGUCAGAGGUGAAAUUCUUGGAUUUAUGAAAGACUAACUUCUGCGAAAGCAUUUGCCAAGGAUGUUUUCAUUAAUCAAGAACGAAAGUUAGGGGAUCGAAGACGAUCAGAUACCGUCGUAGUCUUAACCAUAAACGAUGCCGACCAGCGAUUGGGAGACGUUACAUGGAUGACUCCUCCAGCAGCUUGCGAGAAAUCACAAGUCUUUGGGUUCCGGGGGGAGUAUGGUCGCAAGGCUGAAACUUAAAGGAAUUGACGGAAGGGCACCACCAGGAGUGGAGCCUGCGGCUUAAUUUGACCCAACACGGGGAAACUUACCAGGUCCAGACAUAGUAAGGAUUGACAGAUUUGAGAGCUCUUUCUUGAUUCUAUGGGUGGUGGUGCAUGGCCGUUCUUAGUUGGUGGAGUGAUUUGUCUGGUUAAUUCCAUUAACGAACGAGACCUUAACCUGCUAAAUAUGUCACUGGUAGACUUCUGCCAAAACAGGUGGGUGUCUAGGGGAAAGUUUCGAUGGACUCCGACGCAUUCAUCUGUGGAUGACUACCAGGAUGUACUUCUUAGAGGGACUAUCUGUAUCAAAGCAGAUGGAAGUUUGAGGCAAUAACAGGUCUGUGAUGCCCUUAGAUGUUCUGGGCCGCACGCGCGCUACACUGACAAGUUCAACGAGUUUAACACCUUGCUCGAUAGGGCUGGGUAAUCUUUGAAAAACUUGUCGUGAUGGGGAUAGAUCAUUGUAAUUAUUGGUCUUCAACGAGGAAUUCCUAGUAAGCGUGAGUCAUCAGCUCGCGUUGAUUACGUCCCUGCCCUUUGUACACACCGCCCGUCGCUCCUACCGAUUGAAUGAUCCGGUGAAAUGUUGGGAGCUGGGGUCUUUUGGCGGCGGGGCAACUCGUCGUCAGGGAUUCUGCGAACUUCAUUAAACCUUAUCAUUUAGA
rnacentral:rRNA from 1 species